rnacentral:rRNA from 1 species
UACGUAGGGGGCAAGCGUUGUCCGGAAUCAUUGGGCGUAAAGAGCGUGUAGGCGGCCCGGUAAGUCCGCUGUGAAAGUCCAGGGCUCAACCCUGGGAUGCCGGUGGAUACUGUCGGGCUCGAGUCCGGAAGAGGCGAGUGGAAUUCCUGGUGUAGCGGUGAAAUGCGCAGAUAUCAGGAAGAACACCCGUGGCGAAAGCGGCUCUCUGGAACGGUACUGACGCUGAGGCGCGAAAGCGUGGGUAGCAAACGGG